rnacentral:lncRNA from 1 species
AAAGAAACCUGCCUUAAAACGUUGCCAACUGUUACUCUGCACAACUUUGUUCAAAACACGUGUGGAUGCAAAGCAGCUCCUCUGGAGCCUCGAUGUUCCUGUCGGUGUUUCCUUUGGCAGAUGGGCUCUUGAGAACAGGAAGGCACUCCCUGGCUACAGACUCCUUCUCAAAGCCAAGUAACAGAAGUAGAUGAAUUCUUUCAUGAAAUAAAGAACUAUUGACUUGCACGGGAUAAACAAGAACUGGGCAGCACAGCUCUUGUGAAAAAACCCCAACCCAGCAGCUUCAGACCCUGCAGAAAACACCUGAAUACAUUGGGAUGAUGCUCUGCAGGCUUCAGCAGGAUGAGGGUGGGAUGGCUGUGGCCCAUCUUUAUUUACAGUUGAUAUCCACUCACUGAAAUAGAGAUUUGUUUUUUAAGACUGUCACAAUAAAGCAAUCUGCAUGUCAAUUAAAUAAGAGGUCAUGCAAACAUUACAGUCACAGUGUUGCAGGUUUGCAGUGCUCAGAUGAAGAAUGUGAAGUUUUUUGCUCAAGUAAUGCUUCCCUUGGUAUGUGCAUUCAGUACAGAUUGCCAACAGGACCUCAUAAAGUCCUGUGGAGAUCAGCAGUGCUCGGUGCUGAACCUACGACCUGGAACUGUAGGAGUUGGAUACUUUUCAGAGAGCUUUAAAUACUUGUUUUGACAUCUGAAGACUUUUAGACAUGGACAGAUGAGAAGUAAGUUCAGUCUGCAUUAAGCCUGUAAUUCUGCACAGGAAAUCUUGCUCUGCAGAUGUACCUGCUGAGAGUUUCAUUCCACUUACAUUUCAUUUCAUUCCCGUUCAGCACCUGGGGCUAUUUGCAUGUGUAAAAGAAGAAAUGUGCUUAAGAGACCUGAGUUAAGGCCAUUCCAGCCCUACCUCAAACACUACAACAUGGAAGGAACACAAGAAAACAAGGUGAUAGCAGCCAUCUACUACUCAAGGUUGAGAAACCUCCACUGGGAUCAACUUAAAAAAGCUGCUAGCAGCCACCUGGGAGCCCCCACUCACCGUGACCUCACUGCUGUGGAUGGAGUGGCUUCCUAAGGACGCUUGUGCCAGUUCGGAAGGUCUGGAGUUAAUGUUAUACCACAAUCUGAGCUUCUCUGUUUGGUCUCUGUAUCAUACAUGAACAAGUUAAAAAAUAAAGGCCAUGUAAACACUUUAACA